CAGAGGGUGCGAGCGUUAAUCGGAAUUACUGGGCGUAAAGCGAGUGUAGGUGGCUCAUUAAGUCACAUGUGAAAAUCCCCGGGCUUAACCUGGGAACUGCAUGUGAUACUGGUGGUGCUAGAAAUAUGUGAGAGGGAAGUAAGAAUUCCAGGUGUAGCGGUGAAAAUGCGUAGAGAUCUGGAGGAAUACCGAUGGCGAAGGCAGCUUCCUGGCAUAAUAUUGACACUGAGAUUCGAAAGCGUGGUAGGCAAACAGGAUU
rnacentral:rRNA from 1 species